rnacentral:rRNA from 1 species
UACGUAGGGGGCAAGCGUUGUCCGGAUUUAUUGGGCGUAAAGCGCGCGUAGGCGGCGCGGUAUGUCGUGCGUGAAAUCUCCCGGCUUAACUGGGAGGGGCCGUGCGAAACUGCCGGGCUUGAGGUCGGAAGGGGAAAGUGGAAUUCCGGGUGUAGUGGUGGAAUACGUAGAUAUCCGGAGGAACACCAGCGGCGAAGGCGGCUUUCUGGUCCGAUACUGACGCUGAGACGCGAAAGCGUGGGGAGCAAACAGG